rnacentral:rRNA from 1 species
AUGGAGGAUAUCAUCAGCAGCUAUAAUGCUAACCCACAUGCUCAAAAGCUGCUCGAGCAACUCGCUAUCAGAGCAGAUCCCAAAGGGCGAUUUUCUCUGGAACAAGGCAUCCUGAGAUUUAGAGGACAAAUUUGGCUCGGGGGCGCAACCGCUAUGCAGCAGCAGGUUAUUGCCGCCUUCCAUGACACCCCGCUUGGUGGCCACUCUAGGUUUCCGGUCACAUGGCGUCGUGUGCGUCGACUGUUCGCUUGGCCUAAGAUGAAGACUCACAUACAACACUAUGUCAAAUGCUGCCCGACCUGUCAACAGGCGAAGCCAGACCGUGCAGCCUACCUAGGGCUGCUCGAACCAUUACCAGUACCCAAGGAAUCCUGGGAAAUGAUCAGUAUGGAUUUUGUUGAUGGUCUACCACCUUCUGGAGGAGUGAAUUGCAUUUUGGUCAUUGUCGACAAACUAACUAAGUUUGCUCACUUUCUUCCGUUGGCACACCCAUAUACAGCUUUGAAGGUCACCCUUCUCUAUAUGAACCAAGUGUAA